rnacentral:rRNA from 1 species
GGAUGAACGCUAGCUACAGGCUUAACACAUGCAAGUCGAGGGGAGACGACAUCGAAAGCUUGCUUUUGAUGGGCGUCGACCGGCGCACGGGUGAGUAACGCGUAUCCAACCUGCCCAUCACUUGGGAAUAACCUUGCGAAAGUAAGACUAAUACCCAAUGAUAUCCCACGAAGGCAUCGGAAUGGGAUUAAAGAUUUAUCGGUGAUGGAUGGGGAUGCGUCUGAUUAGCUUGUUGGCGGGGUAACGGCCCACCAAGGCAACGAUCAGUAGGGGUUCUGAGAGGAAGGUCCCCCACAUUGGAACUGAGACACGGUCCAAACUCCUACGGGAGGCAGCAGUGAGGAAUAUUGGUCAAUGGGCGAGAGCCUGAACCAGCCAAGUAGCGUGCAGGAAGACGGCCCUAUGGGUUGUAAACUGCUUUUAUAAGGGAAUAAAGUGGGUCACGUGUGACUUUUUGCAUGUACCUUAUGAAUAAGGACCGGCUAAUUCCGUG